rnacentral:rRNA from 1 species
GACAGAGGGUGCAAACGUUGUUCGGAUUUACUGGGCGUAAAGCGCGUGUAGGCGGCUUUGCAAGUCGGAUGUGAAAUCCCACGGCUCAACCGUGGAAGUGCACUCGAAACUGCAUAGCUAGAGUCCUGGAGAGGAAGGUGGAAUGCUUGGUGUAGAGGUGAAAUUCGUAGAUAUCAAGCGGAACACCGGUGGCGAAGGCGGCCUCUGGACAGUGACUGACGCUGAGACGCGAAAGCGUGGGGAGCAAACAGG